rnacentral:lncRNA from 1 species
GGUGUGCCUGACCAUGCUUGCAAGAUCGUGGUCAGGGUGAUGUAGAGUGAGACUUUCAGGGGACUGCAUUUCUCUUUCGGUUUCACUUUUGUACUUGCUGGACAGACUGCUGCCACGCCGGCUGGCUAGGUUGCUCUGGUCUGCGUAUGUCACACAGGUUGGCUUGGAACUAUGUAACCCAGGCUGCCUUAGCCUCCAAGAUGUGUUUAAAUUACAGGCAUGAACCACCACAACCCUCCACCUCUGUUUUCUCUCAGAAUAAACACAUCCAGAAAAACAAGCAAAUGAAAUUUUCUAAUACUAAGCAAGUGCUCUACUACUAAGCUACAUCUCCUGACCCUUCAUAGUUCUUAAAUGGAUGCUGAUAAUAAUGCUUUAUACUUAGCAAGGAUUAAGAAAACAAGAACUGGCAGAAAUACUGCUAAAUUGUCUUUGAGGAAAGUUUGGAAGAGAUAAGUCAGAUGUCUAAUUAUUCCCAUCCAUUUAUGGCUGUGAAUUAGACUGCUAUGCCAAGACAACACUCAUUUAUUCUCAGCAAUUUGAUUAUUGGUCCCUAUAGCAACUGUCCAAUGCCAAACAGAGCUUUCCCUUCACAACUAAGACUGAUAGCAAGAGUCAUCUAAGUGUGAAACACAAAUAUUUAG